AUUGAACGCUGGCGGCAUGCCUUACACAUGCAAGUCGAACGGCAGCGGACCUUCGGGUGCCGGCGAGUGGCGAACGGGUGAGUAAUAUAUCGGAACGUACCUUUCAGUGGGGGAGUAACGUAGCGAAAGUUACGCUAAUACCGCAUAUUCUGUGAGCAGGAAAGCAGGGGAUCGCAAGACCUUGCGCUGAUUGAGCGGCCGAUAUCAGAUUAGCUAGUUGGUGAGGUAAAAGGCUCACCAAGGCGACGAUCUGUAGCGGGUCUGAGAGGAUGAUCCGCCACACUGGAACUGAGACACGGUCCAGACUCCUACGGGAGGCAGCAGU
rnacentral:rRNA from 1 species